rnacentral:tRNA from 1 species
AACUAUUUAGCUUAAAUAGAGCACUUUACUGAAGAUAAAGAAGACUAAUAUAUC